GUGGGGAAUAUUGGACAAUGGGCGCAAGCCUGAUCCAGCCAUACCGCGUGGGUGAAGAAGGCCUUCGGGUUGUAAACUGCUUUUGUACGGAACGAAACGGUCCUGGUUAAUACCUGGGGCUAAUGACGGUACCGUAAGAAUAAGCACCGGCUAACUACGUGCCAGCAGCCGCGGUAAUACGUAGGGUGCAAGCGUUAAUCGGAAUUACUGGGCGUAAAGCGUGCGCAGGCGGUUUUGUAAGACAGACGUGAAAUCCCCGGGCUCAACCUGGGAAUGGCGUUUGUGACUGCAAAGCUGGAGUGCGGAAGAGGGGGAUGGAAUUCCGCGUGUAGCAGUGAAAUGCGUAGAUAUGCGGAGGAACACCGAUGGCGAAGGCAAUCCCCUGGGCCUGCACUGACGCUCAUGCACGAAAGCGUGGGGAGCAAACAGGAUUAGAUACCCGAGUAGUCC
rnacentral:rRNA from 1 species